UUAUGGUCUCACAUGAACGCAGCAUGACACAGACUUCAGAUGGCGGGCUAACGUAACCAUUGCGGGCCAAACCGAAUUUGGUGGGUGAGGAAAACAGGCUACAGAGAAGCAAAUGAAGAAACAUACAACCACAACAAGUAGAUUAUCGAAAGUAAAGUAACAGUUUUAUUGAGGACAUUUCGAGGAAUGAAAACAGCAACACGGACUGGAGUUAGCUGCUAGAUUAAAUAAUUAGCUGGUGCAUCCUUGUGAACCCCGUUUUUUCAUGCUGGGAGUCCGUUGUCAAAAGAAUAACGUUACGAAGAGGUGCCCUGGGAUUAAUGGCUGUGGAUAACUGCACAAAGGAAGGCAUAGAAAAAAACAAGGUUUGAAGAGGACAUAGAGGAAUACAGAAACUACUGUCAAAAAGCAGGACACGGCCACCGCAGCUACCACCAGCCAUGUAAAUGGGGAGUCUGUGAAGAGAGAGACCAAGGCAUUUCAGGGGGUGAUGACUGCGUGACUUGACCGGUUGUCGCUGCGUCACAGGCGGCCCCGGAGCACUGAUGCAGCAAGGCUGCAGCUCCAGAAGAAAGGUGAAGUCAUUGCUGUUGACUGCUUCAGAGGGCUGGUUCGUUGUUGAUUUUGUUCUCUUUUGGUUGUCCGAGGGCUGACAAGACAUCGACGGUGGGUUCUGAGAUCCAGUGUUAGCGAGGGUGGAGGACAAUGAGGAGAAGGAAGAGGGCAGGGUGUGGACCUCUACCAGCUGAGCAGGUUGCUUCGACCCAGAGUCAUAAAGUAGACCUGGCUGGAGCCUCCAGACCGAACGGAGGCGAAGAACACCUGAAGAGGAGGGACAAACAGAUGGAGAUUUCACUACUAGAGGAACUUGAGUCUCUGGGCUCUCUUGUGCAUGAAGACGCCGUCCAGAUGGCCGGUCUCCACAGAGCGGAUCUCUAUGGCCUUCUCUCCCCAACCCAUGAUCUGGUUGGAACGAAUGUAGGCUACAAAGAGUCAGGUCCACCAGCAGGGGCUUGUGCACCAGGUCACCAAAAGACUAAAGCACACAGGCUGUGAGUAUGUGACCUACCAACGUUGUAGUGGACACAGCCCUCCAGGUCUCCUACGGUGGUCCAACCCUGUUUCUUCUCCACCUCAGGGUCAUUGUGCAGGAUCUUGUUCCUCAGCCAGGACAGUGACCAGGACGUUGAGUCCCUCCAGGACGUCCAUCUGCUGGAAGCGCCGUCGGUUGAUCAGAGGGUAGACUUUCCCCUGACCGCUGCGAUCCAACAGCAUCAGACCACUCUCUGUGCCCACCAACAGCUUUGGAGUCCUCCGGGCCAGAGGUGGACUCUUCGCCUGCCUCCUGGUCUACCUCUUCAUCGUCAUCUUCAUCAGUGGUGUCUGAAUCUUCACCACUGGAGGAUGAAUAAUCUGUCACCUUAUUUGGGGGGCGAACGUCAUCCACUGCACGUAGCUCCUUGGCCAGAGCCGUCAGGUCCUAAAGGAGGUGAAAGAACUAAAGCCGGAAACAGAAAGCUGCAGGAGAGGAAGAGUGGUUAUUGAGGUACGCCAGCCAAUGAGAAGCCAACGUGAGAGCAGCAAAGCCAAGAGAUGAAGCGAGGAACGAAACAUCGUACAGCUGAUGCUCUUCAAGCUACUGUAGCAUUCUCUGGCCGUUGGAGGGGCGAACCCUCUGAUUUGGAGGAGGCUGAAGGAGGUGGAGAGCCGCAGUGAGAACCGGGCUGAGAGCUUGAGUUACUGGAGCUGCUGGAGGAACUGGAGCCUCCGCUGUCACUGUUACUGGUUGGUCUGGGAACCAGUUUCUCCACUCGCUCCCACAGCAGCCGAGGCUCCGCCGCACUGUAGGGCCAACAAACACCGGAGUCAAGAAAGUCAGAGAUGAAGCCAUUGUAGAGAUACAGACUUUUAACUCGGUAGGGUUGCAGAAGCGCUGUUGCACCACUGACUGUACUAUGUAAUCAGAUUUUUAAAAAGUGGGUAGGUUCUUUAUUCUGAUAGAAACUGAUAUUUUCAUGAUGUUAAUAGCGAAUAUUUUGGGCUGAUAUUCAAAUUUCCCUGGCUUGAGGUUCAGAAUGUCCCUAAAUUAUCUUUAAGUGACGCAAAAAUUGGGAGCCAGUACAAAAGAGCUGUAAAUCAGGAAAUAAAUGAAUAAUAUUAACAUAGCAGAAUAACCGAAUAUUUUGUUUAACAUAAAAAAACUUAACUUAAUAAUGGCAAUAGAUUAUAUUUAAAGUCCAUGAUGAAGAAAACAAAUAUGCUAAAUAAGUAAUAGUACAGUAAGAACAGAGUAUAUGUUCUUGAGAUAAAAUUAAAUACAGCACCACAGGGUGAGCGAUGACACAGAGAAUCUCAUGAGAUGUUUUGUGGUUUGCAAAUCGAAAACUGUAUCACAAGGUUAGCUAGCACUAGUACAUAAACCCUCCCACAACACUCCAUAAACUAUAGCAGCACAAACAGUGAAGUCAUUCCUGUGUGUGAGUUAAAUAUAUCGCCAAACAAGGCAAGCGUUUGUUUUGAAGAGUCGUUGAGAAAGUCAUUCUUUUUCAUAUAUUUUUAAUAACAUAGUUGAAAACAGCAGCCUGGUUUCAUACUGCUUCAUAGCACUCAGACCUUUCUCCUGAAGGCUGCCUGCAAAUAACUUUCUUGGACAAAUUAAAAUGUUGCUUUAUUUCCUGAAGGUUUCAUUGUGUCAAAGCCCUGGACUGAUUCGUCUCCAAUAAAACGUUCUCUGUAAACAUA